rnacentral:tRNA from 1 species
AAUGAAGUGUCUGAUUAAAGAAUUAUUUUGAUAGAAUAAGAAAUGUAAAAAUUUUUUUACCUUCAUUA